rnacentral:rRNA from 1 species
UACGUAGGGGGCAAGCGUUGUCCGGAAUCAUUGGGCGUAAAGCGCGUGUAGGCGGCCAGAAAAGUCCGCUGUGAAAACUCGAGGCUCAACUUCGAGCUGUCGGUGGAAACUUUCUGGCUAGAGUCCGGAAGAGGCGAGUGGAAUUCCCGGUGUAGCGGUGAAAUGCGCAGAUAUCGGGAGGAACACCAAUGGCGAAGGCAGCUCGCUGGGACGUUACUGACGCUGAGACGCGAAAGCGUGGGGAGCAAACAGG